UACGUAGGUGGCAAGCGUUGUCCGGAAUUAUUGGGCGUAAAGCGCGCGCAGGCGGUCCUUUAAGUCUGAUGUGAAAUCCCACGGCUCAACCGUGGAAGGUCAUUGGAAACUGGGGGACUUGAGUACAGAAGAGGAAAGCGGAAUUCCAAGUGUAGCGGUGAAAUGCGUAGAGAUCGGGGGGAACACCCGUGGCGAAGGCGGCCAGCUGGGCCGUUCCUGACGCUGAGGAGCGAAAGCGUGGGGAGCGAUCCGG
rnacentral:rRNA from 1 species